rnacentral:rRNA from 1 species
GACGAACGCUGGCGGCGUGCCUAACACAUGCAAGUCGAACGGAAAGGCCCUGCUUUUGUGGGGUGCUCGAGUGGCGAACGGGUGAGUAACACGUGAGUAACCUGCCCUUGACUUUGGGAUAACUUCAGGAAACUGGGGCUAAUACCGGAUAGGAGCUCCUGCUGCAUGGUGGGGGUUGGAAAGUUUCGGCGGUUGGGGAUGGACUCGCGGCUUAUCAGCUUGUUUGUGGGGUAGUGGCUUACCAAGGCUUUGACGGGUAGCCGGCCUGAGAGGGUGACCGGCCACAUUGGGACUGAGAUACGGCCCAGACUCCUACGGGAGGCAGCAGUGGGGAAUAUUGCACAAUGGGCGGAAGCCUGAUGCAGCAACGCCGCGUGCGGGAUGACGGCCUUCGGGUUGUAAACCGCUUUCGCCUGUGACGAAGCGUGAGUGACGGUAAUGGGUAAAGAAGCACCGGCUAACUACGUG